rnacentral:rRNA from 1 species
CAGUCGAAAGAUUGGCUAAUACCGCAUGCGCCCGAAAGGGGAAAGCGGGGGAUCGCAAGACCUCGCGCGAUUGGAGCGGCCGAUGUCCGAUUAGCUAGUUGGUGAGGUAACGGUCACCAAGGCGACGAUCGGUAGCUGGUCUGAGAGGACGACCAGCCACACUGGGACUGAGACACGGCCCAGACUCCUACGGGAGGCAGCAGUGGGGAAUUUUGGACAAUGGGCGCAAGCCUGAUCCAGCCAUGCCGCGUGUGUGAUGAAGGCCUUCGGGUUGUAAAGCACUUUCGGACGGAACGAAAUCGCGCGGGCGAAUACCCCGCGUGGAUGACGGUACCGUAAGAAGAAGCACCGGUUAACUACGUGCCAGCAGCCGGGGUAAUACGUAGGGUGCGAGCGUUAAUCGGAAUUAACUGGGCGUAAAAGGGUGCGCAGGCGGCUCCGAAGUCCAGACGUGAA